rnacentral:rRNA from 1 species
AUUGAACGCUGGCGGCAGGCCUAACACAUGCAAGUCGAGCGAGCGGCGGACGGGUGAGUAAUGUCUGGGGAACUGCCUGAUAGCGGGGGAUAACUACUGGAAACGGUAGCUAAUACCGCAUACCAUCAGAUGUGCCCAUAUGGGAUGAGCUAGUAGGUGGGGUAAUGGCUCACCUAGGCGACGAUCCCUAGCUGGUCUGAGAGGAUGACCAGCCACAAUGGGACUGAGACACGGCCCAGACUCCUACGGGAGGCAGCAGGGGGGAAUAUUGCACAAUGGGCGCAAGCCUGAUGCAGCCAUGCCGCGUGUGUGAAGAAGGCCCUCGGGUUGUAAAGUACUUUCAGCGGGGAGGCGUUACCCGCAGAAGAAGCACCGGCUAACUCCGUGCCAGCAGCCGCGGUAAUUC